GGCGUCGAAAUGAACUCUCCUGCCUACGCUCAACCCUUUUGGAAAUCUGUACGGAUCGCGUGUAUUUUCCCUUCCGAAGCAGCCGGUGGGUCUGCAGGCAGACCUCCCUUCAUCCCCUGCCACAGGGAAAGGCAAAAGAAAGAAUAAAUCUCCCCUUUGCCUGUGCCUGAGCAAAAGAAUUCCAUCCCUGCAGCCAGAGAGGAAGACUUUGCCUUUUCCAGUGCCACAGAUAAAUGUGUAAACAAAGACAUUUCCUGUGCUGGUACAAAGAAAUAAACACUUUCCCCAGCCCCUCCUGUCGCAGAGAGAAAACAAUCCUACCUUUUCCCGCCCACACCCACCCAACCUUUUCCCUUCCCUGCAGCGGAAGACAAGCUUUGUUUCCCUCUAUAACCCCAGAUGUACACAGACACCACGAUUUUCCCUUCCCUUCACUGUCAGGGCUAGAAAUGCUGUUUUCUGGUGUCUGUUGGUAUUUUCCCGUUGUUUUCACAAACAGCACGUGCGCAUCAAAAGUAUCUAAAUUACUUGCAGCAUCGGUGUUCUUUGGGAGAUACCUUCAACAUUCAGGGAUUGGUGGAGGAAAAAGUACUUUUCUGGCUAUCCUAAGGAGGGGAAGGGGAACAGCCUUGGUCACAUUCCGGCUAGAUAAGAAAAACUGAAGUUGAUGUCAGUUAAUCUCUUCAGAGGGCUUGCGGGAUUUCUUUCUUCGCCAUCUUAAAGGAUGUGUGUUCUCUAUGAACUCACAGACAGCUUCAUGCAUGUUCUGGGAUUAGUUACACCUCUCCAUCAAGAUAAGAGAAAGCCUGCAUCCUGUUUCAAACCCCUUACGGUCAGACAGGCACCUAAGCAGCCCUGCAGAUGGGAAGGUGCUAUCUAAGCCGGACACAGGUUGUUCACCACAGUGGCCACCUAAAGAAGAGGGGGAAGGAGCUGGGCUGCAGGUGGGGUCACAGAGCUGCCCACUGCAAGGGAAAAGCAAGGAAGCAUCUGUCCUGAUGAGGCUUAGGAUGGGCUGUUACAGACACAUAAGUCACUACAUCUACUGCAGCACUAAAACAAGAAAUGGUGUUUUAUUGGUCAGUGAAGAUACUCAGAUCCUGUGAGUCUGCAAGCAUAUGAAAAAAGUGAACCUCUGGAACAAGAAAGGAAGGAAAUACGUGUGCCGUUGGCUCUUCCUGUGUGAACCCUUCCACCUCACCUGUGAAGCUCGUCCAUUCCCCCAGCUAUGCAAAGAAGGAAGAUGGGAGAAGUGCAAAGAUAUCAUUUAGAACUACUGGCUCUCGUUCAAGUGUUGCUCUUUCCUGAAGAAAUCCUAUAAAAUAACCGUCACUGCAAGAUUACUGUGCAGUUGAUCAUUAGGAUUUCUACCAAACUAUUUUGGAGAGAAACUACGAGGUUAUUAAACUCUAUGUCAUUCUCUGAA